rnacentral:rRNA from 1 species
UACGGGGGGGGCAAGCGUUGUUCGGAAUUACUGGGCGUAAAGGGCGCGUAGGCGGCCAUCUAAGUCGGACGUGAAAUCCCUCGGCUUAACCGGGGAACUGCGCUUGAUACUGGAUGGCUUGAGAUUGGGAGAGGGAUGCGGAAUUCCAGGUGUAGCGGUGAAAUGCGUAGAUAUCUGGAGGAACACCUGUGGUGUAGACAGCUUACUGGACCACGACUGACGCUGAGACACGAAAGCGUGGGUAGCAAACAGG